UUGAUGAGUGCUAGUGUUGGAGGGUUUCCGCCCUUCAGUGCCGGAGCUAACGCAUUAAGCACUCCGCCUGGGGAGUACGACCGCAAGGUUGAAACUCAAAGGAAUUGACGGGGGCCCGCACAAGCGGUGGAGCAUGUGGUUUAAUUCGAAGCUACGCGAAGAACCUUACCAGGUCUUGACAUCUUGCGCCAACCCUAGAGAUAGGGCGUUUCCUUCGGGAACGCAAUGACAGGUGGUGCAUGGUCGUCGUCAGCUCGUGUCGUGAGAUGUUGGGUUAAGUCCCGCAACGAGCGCAACCCUUGUUACUAGUUGCCAGCAUUAAGUUGGGCACUCUAGUGAGACUGCCGGUGACAAACCGGAGGAAGGUGGGGACGACGUCAGAUCAUCAUGCCCCUUAUGACCUGGGCUACACACGUGCUACAAUGGACGGUACAACGAGUCGCGAACUCGCGAGGGCAAGCAAAUCUCUUAAAACCGUUCUCAGUUCGGACUGCAGGCUGCAACUCGCCUGCACGAAGUCGGAAUCGCUAGUAAUCGCGGAUCAGCAUGCCGCGGUGAAUACGUUCCCGGGCCUUGUACACACCGCCCGUCACACCAUGAGAGUUUGUAACACCCAAAGUCGGUGGGGUAACCUUUUAGGAGCCAGCCGCCUAAGGUGGGACAGAUGAUUAGGGUGAAGUCGUAACAAGUUAACCGUAAGGGGCGAA
rnacentral:rRNA from 2 species